GACGAACGCUGGCGGCGUGCCUAAUACAUGCAAGUCGAACGAACUCUGGUAUUGAUUGGUGCUUGCAUCAUGAUUUACAUUUGAGUGAGUGGCGAACUGGUGAGUAACACGUGGGAAACCUGCCCAGAAGCGGGGGAUAACACCUGGAAACAGAUGCUAAUACCGCAUAACAACUUGGACCGCAUGGUCCGAGCUUGAAAGAUGGCUUCGGCUAUCACUUUUGGAUGGUCCCGCGGCGUAUUAGCUAGAUGGUGGGGUAACGGCUCACCAUGGCAAUGAUACGUAGCCGACCUGAGAGGGUAAUCGGCCACAUUGGGACUGAGACACGGCCCAAACUCCUACGGGAGGCAGCAGUAGGGAAUCUUCCACAAUGGACGAAAGUCUGAUGGAGCAACGCCGCGUGAGUGAAGAAGGGUUUCGGCUCGUAAAACUCUGUUGUUAAAGAAGAACAUAUCUGAGAGUAACUGUUCAGGUAUUGACGGUAUUUAACCAGAAAGCCACGGCUAACUACGUGCCAGCAGCCGCGGUAAUACGUAGGUGGCAAGCGUUGUCCGGAUUUAUUGGGCGUAAAGCGAGCGCAGGCGGUUUUUUAAGUCUGAUGUGAAAGCCUUCGGCUCAACCGAAGAAGUGCAUCGGAAACUGGGAAACUUGAGUGCAGAAGAGGACAGUGGAACUCCAUGUGUAGCGGUGAAAUGCGUAGAUAUAUGGAAGAACACCAGUGGCGAAGGCGGCUGUCUGGUCUGUAACUGACGCUGAGGCUCGAAAGUAUGGGUAGCAAACAGGAUUAGAUACCCUGGUAGUCCAUACCGUAAACGAUGAAUGCUAAGUGUUGGAGGGUUUCCGCCCUUCAGUGCUGCAGCUAACGCAUUAAGCAUUCCGCCUGGGGAGUACGGCCGCAAGGCUGAAACUCAAAGGAAUUGACGGGGGCCCGCACAAGCGGUGGAGCAUGUGGUUUAAUUCGAAGCUACGCGAAGAACCUUACCAGGUCUUGACAUACUAUGCAAAUCUAAGAGAUUAGACGUUCCCUUCGGGGACAUGGAUACAGGUGGUGCAUGGUUGUCGUCAGCUCGUGUCGUGAGAUGUUGGGUUAAGUCCCGCAACGAGCGCAACCCUUAUUAUCAGUUGCCAGCAUUAAGUUGGGCACUCUGGUGAGACUGCCGGUGACAAACCGGAGGAAGGUGGGGAUGACGUCAAAUCAUCAUGCCCCUUAUGACCUGGGCUACACACGUGCUACAAUGGAUGGUACAACGAGUUGCGAACUCGCGAGAGUAAGCUAAUCUCUUAAAGCCACUCUCAGUUCGGAUUGUAGGCUGCAACUCGCCUACAUGAAGUCGGAAUCGCUAGUAAUCGCGGAUCAGCAUGCCGCGGUGAAUACGUUCCCGGGCCUUGUACACACCGCCCGUCACACCAUGAGAGUUUGUAACACCCAAAGUCGGUGGGGUAACCUUUUAGGAACCAGCCGCCUAAGGUGGGACAGAUGAUUAGGGUG
rnacentral:rRNA from 1 species